rnacentral:rRNA from 1 species
GAUGAACGCUAGCUACAGGCUUAACACAUGCAAGUCGAGGGGCAGCAUGGUCUUAGCUUGCUAAGGCCGAUGGCGACCGGCGCACGGGUGAGUAACACGUAUCCAACCUGCCGUCUACUCUUGGACAGCCUUCUGAAAGGAAGAUUAAUACAAGAUGGCAUCAUGAGUCCGCAUGUUCACAUGAUUAAAGGUAUUCCGGUAGACGAUGGGGAUGCGUUCCAUUAGAUAGUAGGCGGGGUAACGGCCCACCUAGUCAACGAUGGAUAGGGGUUCUGAGAGGAAGGUCCCCCACAUUGGAACUGAGACACGGUCCAAACUCCUACGGGAGGCAGCAGUGAGGAAUAUUGGUCAAUGGACGAGAGUCUGAACCAGCCAAGUAGCGUGAAGGAUGACUGCCCUAUGGGUUGUAAACUGCUUUAUAAGGGAAUAAAGUGAGUCUCGUGAGACUUUUUGCAUGUACCUUAUGAAU